UUGGAGGGCAAGUCUGGUGCCAGCAGCCGCGGUAAUUCCAGCUCCAAUAGCGUAUAUUAAAGUUGUUGCAGUUAAAAAGCUCGUAGUUGAAUUUCGGGGUUAGUAGGUUGGUCAUGCCUCUGGUAUGUACUGGUCUCACUGAUUCCUCCUUCCUGAUGAACCGUAAUGCCAUUAAUUUGGUGUUGCGGGGAAUUUGGACUGUUACUUUGAAAAAAUUAGAGUGUUUAAAGCAGGCUAACGCUUGAAUACAUUAGCAUGGAAUAAUGAAAUAGGACGUUUGAUCCUAUUUUGUUGGUUUCUAGGAUUGACGUAAUGAUUAAUAGGGAUAGUUGGGGGCAUUAGUAUUCAAUUGUCAGAGGUGAAAUUCUUGGAUUUAUUGAAGACUAACUACUGCGAAAGCAUUUGCCAAGGAUGUUUUCAUUAAUCAAGAACGAAAGUUAGGGGAUCGAAGACGAUCAGAUACCGUCGUAGUCUUAACCAUAAACUAUGCCGACUAGGGAUCGGAUGAUGUUAAUUUUUUAAUGACUCAUUCGGCGCCUUACGGGAAAC
rnacentral:rRNA from 1 species